CUUCCACCGCUGCAGCCGCAGCUCCUCCUUUCCCUUCUCUUCUUCUUCUCCUUCUCUUCCAGCUACAGCUUCCUCUGCCGCAGCCGCAGCUCCUCCUUUCCCUUCUCUUCUUCUCCUCUUCUUCUUCCUUCCUCGUCCCCGGCGUCACACACCCUCUCCUCUGUUUCCUCUGCAGGAAACAGAGGUAUCACAACCUCUUUCUCUUCCUCUUCUUCUUCUUCUCACGCCCCACACCUCUCCUUGUUGAAUCUCGUAUUUUGAUGAUGAAACUACUUGAUAUAUGUUUAUGAUUUAAUCUGCGUUUUGAGUGACGCAGGAUGCCUCGAUCAAGAUGAGACAAUUAAAGCAGAAAUAUCAUGUUGUGCCGGAGGAACAUGUCAGAAGAUUGGACGUCGGGCCAGUGGAUCGGUUGACGUAUCGACAGAAGGCUUCGGGUCGUGGUCUCGGGCAUCGGGCCAAGAAGAGCGGGUAUUGUGCCAAGGAUAUCGGAGUUGCGGAGUCAACUGGCCGAUUGGGCAAUAGGCUGCAGGAAAGGACGAUGCGCCGAAGAAUUGGACGAAGCGUCGAGGGACCAAUGACAUGCCGGACAACUUGGUUAAUUGCUUACGAUUAAUUGUCUCGAUCGAAGUUUUUGUUUUACAUGUGCAGGAUUAAGUACGAUGAAAGUUAGACAAGCAGCAGGAGUUGCGCCGGAGUCAAGUUCAUGAUCACGUUGGGAGUUCGAGAGUUCGACGGAAGUUCGGACGGUCGUCGGAGGUUCUGCGAGAACAGAUCCGAGAAGUCCAGAAGCUUGCCAAGCGAAGCUCGUCGGAACUCGCCAAGUGGAUCGUCGCAAAGUCCAGGAGUUUGCCGGAAGUCCGCAGGAGCAUCACCGAGGGUUCAUCGGAUGAUCGACGGAAGUUCGCUGGAAACUCGCCGGAAGAAGCGAUUGACGCACCGAAGCAAAGCUGCAGAAAUUGUCUUAGAUCUAAUCGUAGUUAGCACAUUGAUUAAGUUGGAAAAUGGGAGGUGAUCCCAUUAGCUUAAUCUUGGGGCAAUUGGGCCCCUGAAAGACUAAAAUUGGGCCGAAUGGAGCUAACCAUUCGGACCCUGAUUGCACCAGGAGGUGCAACCGCCUAGGCCAGGAGGUGGCACCGCCUGGGCUAAGCCUCCCAGCGAGACUGGGCGGUGCAACCUCCCCAGCCAGGAGAUGGCACCGCCUGAGCUCGGUCUUCGAGCUAGACUGGGCGGUGCAACCUCCCUGACAGAGAGGUGGCACCGCCUGAGCUCAGUCUUCGAGCAAGACUGGGCGGUGCAACCUCCCUGACAGAGAGGUGGCACCGCCUGAGCUCGGUCUUCGAGCUCUGGCAGAGAGGUGCAACCGCCUCAAUCAAGAGGUGGCACCGCCUGGGCUCAGUCUUCGAGCUCUGCCAGGCGGUACAACCUCUCCAGUCAAGAGGUGCAACCGCCUGACCCCGGAAUUCCGGGAUUUGAUCGUUUUGAGCUCCAAAUUUGAAUUGGGUUAGGCCUAUAAAUACCCCACCCAUUCAGCACUAAAGAGAUACAGAUCCACACCGAAUUCUUGAUCUUUUCAGUGAUUCUAAGAGCUCAAAUUUGUGUAAAGUCCAAAAGUUCUCCUCUUUUCUGUUCUUCAAGUCUUGAGUUGUAAAGAUAGGAGAGAAAGGAUCUGUAAGAGUUGUCUCCUGAGCCCGUCAAAAGGAGAGAAACUGUAAAAGGGCAGUUGGCCUUCGCCCAUUGAAGGAAGGCCCCUAGUUGACAUCGGUGACCUCGCCGGUGGAGGAAGCCAAAAGUGGAGUAGGUCAAGACUGACCGAACCACUCUAAAUCUCUGGUUUGCAUUUAUUUUGAGCACUUUAUCAUCACUGCAAACCUCCUACAUAGCUACUGCUCUCUGCGCUUUUACGAACAAGUUUCUAAGUUCUAAUCUUUCCGAAUCUGCAUUCAGACGUCAAAAGGUGUUUUCGUACGAUCUUUACAUUGCAGCUUACAUUUACGUCUUGAAUCUGUUUAUAACUGCGAACUGUCUUCUGCGCUUUUACGAACGAGUUUCAAAGUUCAGACGUAAAUCUGCGUUUAAGACGUAAAUCUGCGUUUAGACGUAAAUCUACGUUUAGACGUAAAUCUGCUUUUUGCAGAUUACUUUUUGAGUUGUACAAUAGCAGCACAUUAUACUUCUGCUUAAACUGCGCUUAGACGCAAACUGUGUUUAGACGCAAACUGCGCUUAGACGCAAUCUGCGCUUAGACGCAAACUGCGCUUAGACGCAAUCUGAGUUUAGACGCAAUCUGCAUUUAGACGCAAACUGCGUUUAGACGCUAACUGUGUUUAAACAUAAACUGCACUUAAUCAUAAGUAAUCUUAGAAUCGGCUUUUGCAUCAAAAUAGUUUUUAUCGAAUGAACGCAGCUUUCGUUUUUAAUCGCUGAAAUAUUUCCGCUGCACUAAUUCACCCCCCCCCUCUUAGUGCUCUCGAUCCUAACACUCCUCUGUUUCCUGCUGCGGGAAACAGAGGUGCUGCAGCCCUAGCUGCUGCCACCUCUCGCUCCUCUCCCUCUUCCCUCUCUUUUCCCUCUUCUUCUCCUUCUCUUCUUCUUCUCUUCCCUUUUCCUCCCCAACGCCACACACCUCCUCGCUGCAGCCUUGCCGCAGCUAUCCUCCUCUCUUCUUCUUCUNNN
rnacentral:lncRNA from 1 species